rnacentral:rRNA from 1 species
UACGAAGGGGGCUAGCGUUGCUCGGAAUUACUGGGCGUAAAGGGCGCGUAGGCGGCGUCUUAAGUCGGGGGUGAAAGCCUGUGGCUCAACCACAGAAUGGCCUUCGAUACUGGGAUGCUUGAGUCUGGUAGAGGUUGGUGGAACUGCGAGUGUAGAGGUGAAAUUCGUAGAUAUUCGCAAGAACACCGGUGGCGAAGGCGGCCAACUGGACCAGCACUGACGCUGAGGCGCGAAAGCGUGGGGAGCAAACAGG